CAGUAGCCGCGGUAACACGUAGGGUGCAAGCGUUAAUCGGAAUUACUGGGCGUAAAGCGUGCGCAGGCGGUUCUAUAAGACAGAUGUGAAAUCCCCGGGCUCAACCUGGGAACUGCAUUUGUGACUGUAGAGCUGGAGUGCGGCAGAGGGGGAUGGAAUUCCGCGUGUAGCAGUGAAAUGCGUAGAUAUGCGGAGGAACACCGAUGGCGAAGGCAAUCCCCUGGGCCUGCACUGACGCUCAUGCACGAGAGCGUGGGGAGCAAACAGGAUUAGAUACCCGUGUAGUCCCUGUCUCUUAUAC
rnacentral:rRNA from 1 species